UUGCGAUGAUGUUUGAAUUUCUUCACCUGAUUCACCGUGAAGAUUAAAUCCGAGCUUUUUAACCCUGAGCAAU